UAGCUCAGUGGUAGAGUGCUUGCCUUGCAUGCAGGAGGCCUUGGGUUCAAUUCCUCA
rnacentral:tRNA from 1 species